rnacentral:lncRNA from 1 species
UGAGGUUGAUGUUUGGUUGCAUGAAUUCUCUUAUUGUGCAUGCUGAACAGUUGGGGAUAUUUAAAUUACUUGUUGUACAAGUGGCAAAGUUUGGGAAUGAGCAAUUUACAAUAGAGACUUUGCCGAAUUUUCGGGAGAAGUUAAUUGUUUUAAGAAAUUUCAAAUCUUAGUUAGAAGGGCAAUUUGGUCAAAUGUGCUCAACACCUGCCAGGUGUCGAACACACAUAGGAUUCGGU